rnacentral:rRNA from 1 species
UACAGAGGGUGCAAGCGUUGUUCGGAAUUAUUGGGCGUAAAGCGCGCGUAGGCGGCUUUGCAAGUCGGGUGUGAAAUCCCCAGGCUUAACCUGGGAACUGCAUUCGAGACUGCAUUGCUAGAGUAUGGGAGAGGGAAGUGGAAUUUCCGGUGUAGCGGUGAAAUGCGUAGAGAUCGGCAGGAACACCCAGGGGGGAAACCAGCCGGCUGGGGACGUGCUGACGCUCAGGGGCGAAAGCGUGGGGAGCGAACCGG